rfam:Danio rerio chromosome 20, GRCz11 reference primary assembly.
GUCCACAGUCAUAUUGGCUCUCUACAACUCUCACGUGGUCACCCACUAAAGCUAACCAGGGCUGCGCCUGGUCAGUACCUGGAUGGGAGACCACAUGGGAAAACUAGGUUGCUGCCGGAA